GGACUACUAGGGUUUCUAAUCCUGUUCGCUACCCACGCUUUCGUGCCUCAGCGUCAGAUACAGAUUAGCAAGCUGCCUUCGCAAUCGGUGUUCUGUGUGAUCUCUAUGCAUUUCACCGCUACACCACACAUUCCGCCUGCUGCAUCUGCUCUCUAGCCUCCCAGUAUCAGCGGACACUCAGGGGUUAAGCCCCUGCAUUUCACCGCUAACUUAAAAAGCCGCCUACGCACCCUUUAAACCCAAUAAAUCCGGAUAACGCUCGGAUCCUCCGUAUUACCGCGGCGGCUGGCAC
rnacentral:rRNA from 1 species